rnacentral:rRNA from 1 species
UACGUAGGGGGCGAGCGUUGUCCGGAGUUACUGGGCGUAAAGGGCGUGCAGGCGGUGCGGGAAGUUUAGAGUGACAGUCUUCGGCUUAACUGGAGAAGGCCUCUGAAAACUGCCGGACUUGAGGGCCAGAGAGGGACAUAGAAUUCCGGGUGGAGUGGUGAAAUGCGUAGAUAUCCGGAGGAAUACCAAAGGCGAAGGCAGUGUCCUGGCUGGCAUCUGACGCUGAGGCGCGAAAGCUAGGGGAGCGAACAGG